AUAUAUUUCUCUCUAAGCUUCUUAGAAGAAUGGAGCUUAGUGCAAUGAAACAAAAAGUUAGUGGUUCGAAUUCCCGGCGAAAGUAUGCAACUUGUAAUGUCUCGUAGCAAGUUUAGAAUUAUUUGCAUUAAGAAAAUAUCUAUCUGAAGGACCUUGUCAUUAGUGCAAACAAAUAAAAAAUCCCACGGCGCGUUCCCAGUGACGAGACCAAUUUCACAGCAAAGGGAGCAACCAAAAUGCGGGGCAUUUGCCGACCGACCGGCCGCCCUCCCGUCCGUCCUCACUCUACCAGAUCCCCCCACGCACAAUUGCCAACACGUGUGCGGCGUGCAGUCGUCACGAAACUAAACUGGAAACCGACAACCGACAACUGGCAACUGGCAACUGGCAAACGGAGAGGCGUCAUUUAAUUAACCCGCGAACGCACACAGCCGGAGCCCCGGCCACGACCACAUGAUGAGGGUCACCGGUGGGGACCAGUCCGGUCCGUUCCCUGCUCGGACGCCUGCGCAGCGUUGGCCUCGUAAAACGGCAGGCAGCAAAUGAAAUCAGGCACUGAAACUGGUGGCCAUUAAUUUAUGCAAAGCACAAAUUAUGAUUGGGCCAGGAAGUGGGCAGACACUGGCCUCACUGGCAGCCCUCCAACUAGGCCUACCAACUGGAGCAGGGCAGCGUCAUAAGCAGCAGCAGGAGCAGCAGCAGGAGCAGCAGCAGGAGCAGGAGCUGGAGCAGCAGCUGUAACGCGAUGAUUAUGCAAGCUGCCGAGUUCCCAUAAAGCAUGAUGAUGAUGAGGCCGGUUGAGAGUUGGGCAGGAGGAGGAGCAGCAGCAGCCGAGGCAUUUGAAUUGGGUGCUGCGGUUAUAUUUUUUUUUUAUAUUUUGGGGCAUCCAACAGUUAAGGUUGGCAGGCCCAGCCAGGCACGAAAAAUGAUUUAUGGCACAAGGAAGUUAAUUUAUUAAUUUCACAACGCUGAGAAUGCAGCAGCAGCAGCGGCAACGACGGCCGCAGGCGAGUUAAGGAAGCACCCGAAGCGGAUCCUGACAUGUUUACAAGCUGCCAGAGCCGCAGCCUUAAAUUAGAGAAAAACCGCUAAACAAGGUCACAGAGAUAACAAGCGGGAUGCCAAAAUGGCUGAAGAGAGAGCCAGAG